rnacentral:rRNA from 1 species
GACGAACGCUGGCGGCGUGCUUAACACAUGCAAGUCGAACGGAAAGGCCCUGCUUUUGUGGGGUGCUCGAGUGGCGAACGGGUGAGUAACACGUGAGUAACCUGCCCUUGACUUUGGGAUAACUUCAGGAAACUGGGGCUAAUACCGGAUAGGAGCUCCUGCUGCAUGGUGGGGGUUGGAAAGUUUCGGCGGUUGGGGAUGGACUCGCGGCUUAUCAGCUUGUUGGUGGGGUAGUGGCUUACCAAGGCUUUGACGGGUAGCCGGCCUGAGAGGGUGACCGGCCACAUUGGGACUGAGAUACGGCCCAGACUCCUACGGGAGGCAGCAGUGGGGAAUAUUGCACAAUGGGCGGAAGCCUGAUGCAGCAACGCCGCGUGCGGGAUGACGGCCUUCGGGUUGUAAACCGCUUUCGCCUGUGUCGAAGCGUGAGUGACGGUAAUGGGUAAAGAAGCACCGGCUAACUACGUG